rnacentral:rRNA from 1 species
ACCGCAUCCCGUCUGAUCUGCGCAGUUAACCAGAGUGCCGCCUAGUUAGUACCACGGUGGGGGACCACGCGGGAAUCCUGGGUGCUGUGGUUUUUGCU